CAGGACGAACGCUGGCGGCGUGCUUCACACAUGCAAGUCGAACGGAAAGGCCCGCUUGCGGGUACUCGAGUGGCGAACGGGUGAGUAACACGUGGGUAACCUGCCCCGGACUUUGGGAUAACCGUUGGAAACGACGGCUAAUACCGGAUACGACCAUUUCCCGCAUGGGGGGUGGUGGAAAGUUGUUUCGGUUCGGGAGGGACCCGCGGCCUAUCAGUUGGUUGGUGGGGUAAUGGCCUACCAAGGCGUUGACGGGUAGCCGGCCUGAGAGGGCGGUCGGUCACAUUGGGACUGAGAUACGGCCCAGACUCCUACGGGAGGCAGCAGUGGGGAAUUUUGCACAAUGGGCGGAAGCCUGAUGCAGCGACGCCGCGUGAGGGAUGACGGCUUUCGGGUUGUAAACCUCUUUUAUCCAUGACGAAGGUACUGUUUUUCAGUGUUGACGGUAGUGGUUGAAUAAGCGCCGGCUAACUACGUGCCAGCAGCCGCGGUAAGACGUAGGGCGCGAGCGUUGUCCGGAUUUAUUGGGCGUAAAGGGCUCGUAGGCGGCUCGUCGCGUCUGCCGUGAAAGGCCUCGGCUUAACUGGGGUUUUGCGGUGGAUACGGGCGGGCUUGAGGCAAGUAGGGGAGAUCGGAAUUCUACGUGUAGCGGUGAAAUGCGCAGAUAUGUGGAGGAACACCGGUGGCGAAGGCGGAUCUCUGGGCUUGUUCUGACGCUGAGGAGCGAAAGCGUGGGGAGCGAACAGGAUUAGAUACCCUGGUAGUCCAUGCUGUAAACGGUGGGCGCUAGGUGUGGGCCGGCUUUGUUCGGUCUGUGCCGUAGCUAACGCAUUAAGCGCCCCGCCUGGGGAGUACGGCCGCAAGGCCAAAACUCAAAGGAAUUGACGGGGGCCCGCACAAGCGGCGGAGCAUGCGGAUUAAUUCGAUGCAACGCGAAGAACCUUACCUGGGUUUGACAUCACCCGGAAACGCCUAGAGAUAGGCGCCUCUUCGGACUGGGUGACAGGUGGUGCAUGGCUGUCGUCAGCUCGUGUCGUGAGAUGUUGGGUUAAGUCCCGCAACGAGCGCAACCCUUAUCCCGUGUUGCCAGCAUUCAGUUGGGGACUCGCGGGAGACUGCCGGGGUUAACUCGGAGGAAGGUGGGGAUGAGGUCAAGUCAUCAUGCCCCUUAUGUCCAGGGCUUCACGCAUGCUACA
rnacentral:rRNA from 1 species